rnacentral:lncRNA from 1 species
GGGUGGUGUGAUUGGUGAGGGAACCGAUUGACUCAUUGCGCAUUCAUAUUGAUUUUGUUAUUGUUCUGAAGUCUAGAGUACAGGAAAAAUAAUAAAGAACAAGUCAAAGUUAUAGCAAACAAUUGCUACCUUUACUUGCCACCAAUGACGAUAAAAUCAACAAUAGCCAAGAUCAAUAGCACUACCAAAUAUUGAGAAACAUUAACUCAAUAUAUAUAUUGCUACAAGCGUAUAUACAUAGGUGCUCCUACAUUGUAACCCGUCAC